AGAAAGUUAGUCUAACCAAGACAGUUGACUUCGACUCAACAAAUCAUAGCCCCAAGCCCUAUGACUUUCUU
rnacentral:tRNA from 1 species